CUGGCUCAGGAUGAACGCUAGCGACAGGCCUAACACAUGCAAGUCGAGGGGCAGCAUGGAGUAGCAAUACUCUGAUGGCGACCGGCGCACGGGUGCGUAACAGGUGUGCAAUCUGUCCAUAGUCGGGGGAUAGCCCGGCGAAAGCCGAAUUAAUACUCUAUGUGUCACGAAGCCGCAUGACUUUGUGAUGAAACGUAAGGACUAUGGGUGAGCACGCUUCUGAUUAGGUAGUUGGUGAGGUAACGGCCCACCAAGCCGACGAUCAGUAGGGGUUCUGAGAGGAAGGUCCCCCACAUUGGAACUGAGACACGGUCCAAACUCCUACGGGAGGCAGCAGUGAGGAAUAUUGGUCAAUGGACGAGAGUCUGAACCAGCCAAGUCGCCGUGAAGGAUGAAGGUUCUAUGGAUUGUAAACUUCUUUUGUCCGAGGGUAAAGUGUGGGACGUGUCCCAUUUGGCAAGUAUCGGACGAAUAAGCAUCGGCUAACUCCGUGCCAGCCGCCGC
rnacentral:rRNA from 1 species